UACGUAGGGUGCAAGCGUUAAUCGGAAUUACUGGGCGUAAAGCGCGCGCAGGUGGUUCCUUAAGUCUGAUGUGAAAGCCCACGGCUCAACCGUGGAAGGUCAUUGGAAACUGGGGAACUUGAGUGCAGAAGAGGAAAGUGGAAUUCCAAGUGUAGCGGUGAAAUGCGUAGAUAUUUGGAGGAACACCAGUGGCGAAGGCGACUUUCUGGUCUGUAACUGACACUGAGGCGCGAAAGCGUGGGGAGCAAACAGG
rnacentral:rRNA from 1 species